GUCCACGCUGUAAACGAUGGGCACUAGAUGCCGGGCCCUUCGACGGGUUCGGUGUCGUAGCUAACGCAUUAAGUGCCCCGCCUGGGGAGUACGGCCGCAAGGCUGAAACUCAAAGGAAUUGACGGGGGCCCGCACAAGCGGUGGAGCAUGUGGUUUAAUUCGACGCAACGCGAAGAACCUUACCUGGGCUUGACAUCCAUGUGAAAGCCCCUGGAAACAGGGGCCCUUCUUCGGAACGCAUGGACAGGUGCUGCAUGGCUGUCGU
rnacentral:rRNA from 1 species